rnacentral:rRNA from 1 species
UCGGGAAUCUUCCGCAAUGAGCGAAAGCCUGACGGAGCAACGCCGCGUGAGUGAUGAAGGUCUUCGGAUCGUAAAACUCUGUUAUUAGGGAAGAACAAAUGUGUAAGUAACUAUGCACAUCUUGACGGUACCUAAUCAGAAAGCCACGGCUAACUACGUGCCAGCAGCCGCGGUAAUACGUAGGUGGCAAGCGUUAUCCGGAAUUAUUGGGCGUAAAGCGCGCGUAGGCGGUUUUUUAAGUCUGAUGUGAAAGCCCACGGCUCAACCGUGGAGGGUCAUUGGAAACUGGAAAACUUGAGUGCAGAAGAGGAAAGUGGAAUUCCAUGUGUAGCGGUGAAAUGCGCAGAGAUAUGGAGGAACACCAGUGGCGAAGGCGACUUUCUGGUCUGUAACUGACGCUGAUGUGCGAAAGCGUGGGGAUCAAACA